CCUACGGGAGGCAGCAGUGAGGAAUAUUGGUCAAUGGACGAGAGUCUGAACCAGCCACGUCGCGUGAAGGAUGACUGCCCUAUGGGUUGUAAACUUCUUUUAUAAAGGAAUAAAACGAGGCACGUGUGCCUUUUUGCAUGUACUUUAUGCAUAAGGCUCGGCUAACUACGUGCCAGCAGCCGCGGUAAUACGGAGGAUCCGAGCGUUAUCCGGAUUUAUUGGGUUUAAAGGGAGCGUAGAUGGGUUGUUAAGUCAGUUGUGAAAGUUUGCGGCUCAACCGUAAAAUUGCAAUUGAUACUGGCAGUCGUGAGUACAGUUGAGGUAGGCGGAAUUCGUGGUGUAGCGGUGAAAUGCGUAGAUAUCACGAAGAACCCCGAUUGCGAAGGCAGCUUACUAAACUGUGACUGACAUUGAUGCACGAAAGUGUGGGUAUCAAACAGGAUUAGAUACCCGGGUAGUC
rnacentral:rRNA from 1 species